rnacentral:rRNA from 1 species
UACAGAGGUGGCAAGCGUUGUUCGGAAUUACUGGGCGUAAAGGGCGCGUAGGCGGUCUUGCAAGUCCUGUGUGAAAUCCCUCGGCUCAACUGAGGAACUGCGCAGGAAACUGCUUGGCUUGAGUUCGGGAGAGGGAAGCGGAAUUCCGGGUGUAGCGGUGAAAUGCGUAGAUAUCCGGAGGAACACCGGUGGCGAAGGCGGCUUCCUGGACCGACACUGACGCUGAGGCGCGAAAGCUAGGGGAGCAAACGGG